GCGCGCAUAGCUCAGUGGAUAGAGCGCUGCCCUCCGGAGGCAGAGGUCGUAGGUUCGAAUCCUACUGCGCGCG
rnacentral:tRNA from 1 species